GCCGGGCGUGGUGGCUCAUGCCUGUAAUCCCAGCACUUUGGGAGGCUGAGGCGGGCGGAUCACCUGAGGUCAGGAGUUUGAGACCAGCCUGGCCAACAUGGUGAAACUCCGUCUCUG
ensembl:misc_RNA Metazoa_SRP Metazoan signal recognition particle RNA